rnacentral:rRNA from 1 species
GACGAACGCUGGCGGCGUGCUUAACACAUGCAAGUCGAACGGUAAGGCCCUUCGGGGUACACGAGUGGCGAACGGGUGAGUAACACGUGGGUGAUCUGCCCUGCACUUCGGGAUAAGCCUGGGAAACUGGGUCUAAUACCGGAUAGGACCACUGCCUGCAUGGGUGGUGGUGGAAAGCUUUUGCGGUGUGGGAUGGGCCCGCGGCCUAUCAGCUUGUUGGUGGGGUGUGGGCCUACCAAGGCGACGACGGGUAGCCGGCCUGAGAGGGUGACCGGCCACACUGGGACUGAGACACGGUCCAGAUUCCUACAGGAGGCAGGAGUGGGGAAUAUUGCACAAUGGGCGCAAGACUGAUGCAGCGACGCCGCGUGAGGGAUGAAGGCCUUCGGAUUGUAAACCUCUUUCAGUAGGGACGAAGCGAAAGUGACGGUACCUAAAGAAGAAGCACCGGCUAACUACGUGCCAGCAGCCGCGGUAA